rnacentral:rRNA from 1 species
UACGUAGGGCGCAAGCGUUGUCCGGAAUUAUUGGGCGUAAAGAGCUCGUAGGCGGCUUGUCACGUCGAUUGUGAAAGCCCGAGGCUUAACCUCGGGUCUGCAGUCGAUACGGGCUAGCUAGAGUGUGGUAGGGGGAGAUCGGAAUUCCUGGUGUAGCGGUGAAAUGCGCAGAUAUCAGGAGGAACACCGGUGGCGAAGGCGGAUCUCUGGGCCAUUACUGACGCUGAGGAGCGAAAGCGUGGGGGAGCGAACAGG